GAGCCUACUUUAUCUGUUGCUCACAUUUAACCUGUAGCCCAGAUAAAAGUUCUAACUCCCUCUCAAUAAACCUAAAAUACUUCAUCCUUAUAUCUUCAGUAAUAUUUAUUCAACGUCUUUUUUGUCAGGCUUUAAUCUUAAAAUACCUUUAUAUUUUUAUGGUGAAGAGACCUAGGUCACAUGAAAAAAUAGAAUGCAUAGGCUUUGAUUCGAUUUAACUUAACUUUUAACUUAAGAAGCUAGUUAAAAAUUAUACCCAUUAUAUCAAAUCGAGAUAAUGGGUAUUUAUUGAUAGUCCCGCAAACGUCACGACUCGAAUCUUCUUAGACCACCAUCACAGAAUGACUUAAUGUUUAAAUUUGAUAUGCAUCGAGAAUGUUUGAUGAGCCCUUUAUGCAUCUUAU
rnacentral:misc_RNA from 1 species